rnacentral:tRNA from 1 species
UAGGGUGAAAUCGAAAAAGAUAUUUCUUUUACAAGGAAAUGGGGCAGUUUAGCCACUCUAA